rnacentral:rRNA from 1 species
UACGGAAGGCAGCAGUGGGGAAUAUUGCACAAUGGGCGCAAGCCUGAUGCAGCCAUGCCGCGUGUAUGAAAAGGCCUUCGGGUUGUAAAGUACUUUCAGUCGUGAGGAAGGUGUUAAGGUUAAUAACCUUAGCAAUUGACGUUAGCGACAGAAGAAGCACCGGCUAACUCCGUGCCAGCAGCCGCGGUAAUACGGAGGGUGCGAGCGUUAAUCGGAAUUACUGGGCGUAAAGGGCACGCAGGCGGUUAAUUAAGUUGGAUGUGAAAUCCCCGGGCUUAACCUGGGAAUGGCAUUCAAGACUGGUUAGCUAGAGUCUUGUAGAGGGGGUAGAAUUCCAUGUGUAGCGGUGAAAUGCGUAGAGAUGUGGAGGAAAUACCGGUGGCGAAAGGGCGGCCCCCUGGACAAAAGACUGACGCUCAUGUGCGAAAAGCGUGGGGGAGCAAAACAGGGAUUAGAUACC